UCCGAGGAAGGCCUGUGGGAGUCUCGGAGACGUGUCUGUCUGUGAGGCGCUGGGUGCACUUCCCCAGGGCUCUGGGCUAGGAAGGCAGCGGCGAGGUGCCUCCCCACGUACCCUUCGCGGGCCCAGCCGAGCAGCGUGGGGCGAAGGCGGCGGCGAAGGCCCGGGCUGGGAGCGUUGGCAGCCGGAGUCCCAGCCAUGGCCGUGUCUGUGGAGCGGCUGCAGCAGCGGGUCCAGGAGCUGGAGCGGGAACUUGCCCAGGAGAGGAGUCUGCAGGUCCCGAGGAGCGGCGACGGAGGGGGCGGCCGGGUCCGCAUCGAGAAGAUGAGCUCAGAGGUGGUGGAUUCGAAUCCCUACAGCCGCUUGAUGGCAUUGAAACGAAUGGGAAUUGUAAGCGACUAUGAGAAAAUCCGUACCUUUGCCGUAGCAAUAGUAGGUGUUGGUGGAGUAGGUAGUGUGACUGCUGAAAUGCUGACAAGAUGUGGCAUUGGUAAGGUAAAAAUAUUUCUCUUUGCCUGUCAUAUAGGGAACUACUCACUCCUGGAGUAAAUCAGGUACAAAUUAGGAUUUUUC
rnacentral:sRNA from 1 species